rnacentral:rRNA from 1 species
AUGACCGACACGUUACCCGGCGGUGGCGAUGUCACGGCGCCGAUGGAGCAAGCCGCCGCCGCCGUCGGAGUGACCGGCUCCGGCGCGGCGGCGGCGGCGGUGGUGUGCUACUCGCCCAUGAAGGUCACCACGUACGGCAUCUGGGAGGGCGUCAACCCGCUGGAGUUCUCCCUCCCCAUCUUCAUCCUCCAGACGGCCGUCAUCGUCGGCACCACCCGCCUCCUCGUCCUCCUCCUCAAGCCCUUCCGCCAGCCCCGCGUCAUCGCUGAGAUCCUCGCCGGCGUCAUCCUCGGCCCGUCGGUGAUGGGGCAGGUCGGGACGUGGGCGGGCACGGUGUUCCCGGGGCGGAGCCUGCUCACCCUGGAGACGGUGGCGCACCUGGGCCUCCUCUACUUCCUCUUCCUGGUCGGCCUCGAGAUGGACGUCAACGUCAUCAAGCGCUCCGGCAAGAAGGCCGUCAUCAUCGCCGUGGCCGGCAUGGCGCUGCCCUUCUGCAUCGGCACCGCCACCUCCUUCAUCUUCCGGCACCAGGUGUCCAAGAACGUGCACCAGGCCUCCUUCCUGCUCUUCCUCGGCGUCGCGCUCUCCGUCACGGCCUUCCCGGUGCUCGCCCGGAUCCUCGCCGAGAUCAAGCUGCUCAACUCGGAGCUCGGCAAGAUCGCCAUGUCCGCGGCCAUCGUCAAUGACAUGUGCGCCUGGAUCCUGCUCGCGCUCGCCAUCGCCAUCUCCGACGUGAACAGCACCCCGUUCUCCUCCCUCUACGUGCUCCUCUCCGGCGUGGCGUUCGUGCUGGCGUGCUUCUACGUCGUGCGGCCGGUCAUGUGGUGGAUCGUCCGCCGCAUCCCCGAGGGCGAGACCAUCAGCGACGUGCAGGUCACGCUCAUACUCACCGGCGUCAUGAUCUCCGGCGUGUGCACGGACGCCAUCGGCAUCCACUCCGUGUUCGGCGCGUUCGUGUACGGGCUGGUGAUACCGAGCGGGGAGCUCGGCGUGGUGCUGAUCGAGAAGCUGGAGGACUUCGUGAUGGGGCUGCUGCUCCCGCUGUUCUUCGCCAUCAGUGGCCUCCGCACCAACGUGACCCGGGUGAGCGACCCGGUCACCGCGGGGCUCCUAGUGCUGGUGUUCGUCAUGGCCAGCUUCGCCAAGAUCAUGGGCACCAUCCUCAUCGCCAUCUCCUACACCAUGACCUUCCGCGACGGCGUCGCCCUCGGCUUCCUCAUGAACACCAGGGGGCUCGUCGAGAUGAUCGUCCUCAACAUCGGAAGGGACAAGCAGGUGCUGGACGAUGAGUCGUUCGCGGUGAUGGUGCUGGUGUCGGUGGCGAUGACCGCGCUGGUGACGCCGGUGGUGACCACGGUGUACCGUCCGGCGCGGCGGCUGGUCGGGUACAAGCGGCGCAACCUGCAGCGGUCGAAGCACGACGCGGAGCUGCGCAUGCUGGCGUGCGUGCACACCACCCGCAACGUGCCGUCCAUCAUCUCCCUCCUCGAGCUCUCCAACCCGAGCAAGCGCUCCCCCCUAUUCAUCUACGCGCUCCACCUAGUGGAGCUCACCGGCCGCGCAUCCAACAUGCUCGCCGCCCACCACACCGCCGCCAACCAGAACCGCAGCGCCAGCACCAGCGCCAGCGAGCACAUCUUCAACGCCUUCGAGAACUACGAGGAGAGCGUCGCCGGCGUGUCGGUCCAGGCGCUGACGGCGGUGUCGCCGUACCAGACGAUGCACGAGGACGUAUCGGUGCUGGCGGAGGACAAGCACGUGUCCCUCAUCGUGCUCCCGUUCCACAAGCAGCAGACGGUGGACGGCGGCAUGGAGCCCAUCCACCCCGCCCUCAAGGGCUUCAACGAGAGCAUCCUCACCUCGGCGCCCUGCUCCGUCGGCAUCCUCGUCGACCGCGGCCUCAGCGCCCCCGCGGCGCGCUUGUCCAUCGUGCACCGCUUGGCGCUCCUCUUCUUCGGCGGGCCGGACGACCGCGAGGGGCUCGCCUACGCGUGGCGGAUGGUCGAGAACCCCGGCGUCUGCCUCGCCAUCGUCCGCUUCAUCCCGCCAGGCUACACGGCGCCGCCGCCGGCGGUGGCGCCGCCGUCGUCCGUGCCGUCCGGCUCGCGCGCCAUCACCAUCGUGCCCGACGUGCCCAAGACGGAGCGGCAGAUGGACGAGGAGUACCUCAACGAGUUCCGGUCGCGCAACGUGGGCAACGAGGCCAUCAUGUACGUGGAGCAGGUGGUGGCCAACAGCGAGGAGACCAUGGCGGCCAUCCGGAACCUGGGCAACGCGCACGAGCUGUACAUCGUCGGCAGGCAUCCCGGCGAGGAGAGCUCGCCGCUCACGUCGGCGCUGUCCGACUGGAUGGAGUCGCCGGAGCUGGGGCCCAUCGGGGACCUGCUGGUGUCGUCCGAGUUCUCCAAGAUGGUGUCCGUGCUGGUGAUGCAGCAGUACCAGCUCACCACGGCGCAGCCGGCGAUGCCCGUGGCAGACGACCCCGUGCGGCAGUACGUGACCAAUGCCAACCAGCGGCCGGCGAUGGGGGUCGGUGGAUACCAGUUGGUGGGCCGCGGUGGCUUCUGA